rnacentral:rRNA from 1 species
UACGUAGGUGGCAAGCGUUGUCCGGAUUUAUUGGGCGUAAAGCGAGCGCAGGCGGUUCCUUAAGUCUGAUGUGAAAGCCCACGGCUCAACCGUGGAAGGUCAUUGGAAACUGGGGAACUUGAGUGCAGAAGAGGAGAGUGGAAUUCCAUGUGUAGCGGUGAAAUGCGUAGAUAUAUGGAGGAACACCAGUGGCGAAGGCGACUCUCUGGUCUGUAACUGACGCUGAGGCUCGAAAGCGUGGGGAGCAAACAGGAUUA